rnacentral:rRNA from 1 species
GCAUGCCUAACACAUGCAAGUCGAACGGCAGCACAGCAGAGCUUGCUCUGUGGGUGGCGAGUGGCGGACGGGUGAGUAAUGCAUCGGGACCUACCCAGACGUGGGGGAUAACGUAGGGAAACUUACGCUAAUACCGCAUACGUCCUACGGGAGAAAGCAGGGGACCUUCGGGCCUUGCGCGGUUGGACGGACCGAUGUGCGAUUAGCUAGUUGGUAGGGUAAUGGCCUACCAAGGCGACGAUCGCUAGCUGGUCUGAGAGGAUGAUCAGCCACACUGGGACUGAGACACGGCCCAGACUCCUACGGGAGGCAGCAGUGGGGAAUAUUGGACAAUGGGCGCAAGCCUGAUCCAUCAAUGCCGCGUGUGUGAAGAAGGCCCUCGGGUUGUAAAGCACUUUUAUCAGGAACGAAAUACCACGGGUUAAUACCCUAUGGGGCUGACGGUACCUGAGGAAUAAGCACCGGCUAACUUCGUGCCAGCAGCCGCGGUAAUACGAAGGGUGCAAGCGUUAAUCGGAAUUACUGGGCGUAAAGGGUGCGUAGGCGGUUCGUUAAGUCUGUCGUGAAAUCCCCGGGCUCAACCUGGGAAUGGCGAUGGAUACUGGCGAGCUAGAGUGUGUCAUAGGAUGGUGGAAUUCCCGGUGUAGCGGUGAAAUGCGUAGAGAUCGGGAGGAACAUCAGUGGCGAAGGCGGCCAUCUGGGACAACACUGACGCUGAAGCACGAAAGCGUGGGGAGCAAACAGGAUUAGAUACCCUGGUAGUNCACNCCNUAAANGAUGCGAANUGGACGUUGGUCUCAACUNGGAGAUCAGUGUNGAAGNUAACGCNUUAANUUCGCCGCNUGGGGAGUACGGUNGCAAGACUGAA